UAAAAAAAAAUCAUUUUUAAUUUUAAAAGAUAUACAUAGUAUAAUGAUUAAUAAUGUUACAAAGUUUGGGGGUUCAUCUUAUGAUAGCUUAUUAAAGUUUAAAAGCAGAUUAGAAAAAAUUAAAUCUGAAGGACAGUUUAAUACUUUUCUGGCCACUGCAGGGUCUAAAUCAACUUUACUGAGAGUGUCUGAGACAAAGAGAUGGUGCAGCUAUAAGAGUUCAACCAACAACCAUUUCACGGAGGAAACCUGGUAUGACAAGAGGAAGUAAACGCUUACCUUCAGGUAGACCUGCUUCAACAGACCACAGUCACCAAAAAAAGAAACCAAGAAAUUUAUUUAAAAAUGUAUCUGAUUGUGUACCAAAUGCAAAAUCUCAUUAAACUAUUAUAAAUAUUUAUUAUUAUUAUUA